CAACUUCUUUUGUCUCUCUUAAGUACUGGUCGUUAUGGUUUCUUAGCGACAGCUGAGACGAAAUUCCGUAAGAGAAAGAAGCGCAAGUAAAAAUCCUAAACCCCAUCAGCAAGCUCUAUGCAGUAGUGUUUCUGCUGUGGGUCUCUUUUCCUGCCAUCUCGGGAGCAAGGCUGGCGAGUGAUGUGCAGCCAGGAGCCAUGGGUGUGAAUUACCAGCAAAUUCCUGGGAGGAGAGCUGUGUACCUGAUCCUGCAGAUGCUGUGGGAUGUCUGUUUGCAGUGAUGCAGGCUGAGAUGGCUGAGUAACACUGAACAUCUGCCUUAAGGCAAGUCACCUGGCCCAGCUCUUGAAACCACCAGCUUCAUUGGCAGCAAAUGAAGUCCUUGGCUGAAGAGAGAAAUUGAGGACUUAAAACUGUCUGUGCAGGAAACAGCCCCCUGUGCCUGGGAGCCAUGAGCCGCCCGCAGAGCCGCCGGAGCAGCCUCCCAGCCGCAGCCCCCUGGCACUCUUAGGCUUCCCCGCUGCCCUGGUAGGUGCUCAUCGCUGGCCAGGAGAACUGGCUGCACCUGCACCCAGCCUCCUGCAUCCCUCCCAAGGUUCCUUGCCUCACCAGCAGGUCCUUGUAGGAUUUCAGCUCUGGGCUGCGUGUCUGGGGCUGAGCCAGGUGCCCCCUGCUCCGUGCUGGGUCCCAUGAGACGGGCAGGACCCCCCUGUCCCUCACGCCCGGGGCCGCAGCGCCCGGCUCUGCCCCCGCUGCUCGGGAGCGCCCGCCAGCCCCCAGAGCGGAGCCGCAGAGAGCUGCUGCCACGGACCCCUCUCUGCAGAAGGACGUGCUCCAGGUCGCUGUUCCUGUUGACUCCACGCUUGUCCCCUGGCUGCAGGGGUGCCUGCAAAAAAAAAAAAAAACCACACUGAGGGAACAGCUUAUGCACCAAAAAAAAAUUCAGGUUUCAGUCAACAGACUCAGCUCACGAAUUCAGGUUGUAUUUAGCAAGU
rnacentral:lncRNA from 1 species